rnacentral:rRNA from 1 species
UUUUGCACAAUGGGCGCAAGCCUGAUGCAGCAACGCCGCGUGUGUGAUGAAGGUCUUCGGAUCGUAAAGCACUUUCGACCGGGACGAAACAGCGACACCCAACACGUGUCGCCCUGACGGUACCUCCAAAGGAAGCACCGGCUAACUCUGUGCCAGCAGCCGCGGUAAUACAGAGGGUGCGAGCGUUGUCCGGAAUCACUGGGCGUAAAGGGCGCGUAGGCGGCUUGGUAAGUAGGGGGUGAAAUCUCACGGCUCAACUGUGAGGCUGCCUUCUAGACUGCCUGGCUUGAGCACAGUAGAGGCGAGUGGAAUUCCCGGUGUAGCGGUGGAAUGCGUAGAGAUCGGGAAGAACAUCGGUGGCGAAGGCGGCUCGCUGGGCUGUUGCUGACGCUGAUGCGCGAAAGCGUGGGGAGCAAAC